rnacentral:rRNA from 1 species
AUUGAACGCUGGCGGCAGGCCUAACACAUGCAAGUCGAGCGAGCGGCGGACGGGUGAGUAAUGCGUAAAGAACUUGCCUCACAGAUAGGGACAAAAUUUGGAAACGAAUGCUAAUACCUGUUACUGUGAGAGAGCUUUGCGUCGCAUUAGCUAGUUGGAGAGGUAACGGCUCACCAAGGCGAUGAUGGGUAGCCGGCCUGCGAGGGUGAUCGGCCAAAAGGGGACUUAGACACGGCCCUUACUCCUACGUGAGGCAGCAGUGGGGAAUAUUGUAGAAUGGACCGAAGUCUGAUCAAGCAAUUCUGUGUGCACGAUGAAGUUUUCGGAAUGUAAAGUGCCUUCAGUUGGGAAGCGGUACCAACAGAAGAAGUGACGGCUAAAUACGUGCCAGCCGCCGCGGUAAUUC